rnacentral:misc_RNA from 1 species
CGAGGGCAGGGUACACUAAUAGCAGCGGUGCAUCGUGCUACGCUCUUUUCGGCGCAGCUGUGUUCGCGGGCCUCUCGUUUUUUCUCUCAUCCCGGCUCGAGCUGUUUCCUCGGCGAUCAUAUCUGCUUGCCCACCACAAAGGAACGCACACUGCCAGCAAGGCACGUUUUUUUUUGUGGUGGGGGGCUAUCAUACCUCACCUGCUCCCUCUGUCUCUUCGUCUUUUUUCUUCGUUGUUUCUUAAUUUGGUCUCCUUUGGCAACCAUGCAGUUGAUGCGUGCGGUCACCCUGAAGGGGUUCGGCGAUACGGAGAUGCUCCAAAUCUCUCGCAUACCCAAGGCUGCCAUCACCCGCGGGAGGGACAUCCUCAUAAAAGUGAGUGCGGCUGGCGUCAACCGCGCCGACGCGGCUCAGCGCAAGGGCCACUACCCCCCACCAAAAGGCAGCAGCGAGGUUCUGGGGCUGGAGGUGUCGGGCAUUGUCGAGCAGGUAGGGGACGAUGUAAAGGACUUCAAGGAGGGCGACAAAGUGAUGGCGUUGCUGCCGGGUGGCGGGUACGCCGAGUACGCCGUUGCACACGAGGGCAGCGUCAUGCAUAUCCCGCAAGGCUACUCCUUUAUCGAGGCGGCUGCAAUUCCGGAGGCGUUUCUCACUGCGUGGCAGGCACUAAAGUACCACGGCGACUGUCGCAGGGGCCAAAAAGUCCUCAUCCAUGCCGGAGCCAGCGGCGUCGGCACUGCGGCAGCACAGCUCGUCGAGAAGUACUUCCAGGCCACCGCUCUCACCACUUCCUCAGAGUCCAAGGUGGAGGUGUGCAAGAACUUUGCGAGCAUCAACCUCACCCGCACACCGGAUGAGACCGGCAUGUGCUUCUCUCCGAAGGUAAAGAGCCUCCUUGGCGAGGGUGCCAUCAAUCUUGUCCUGGACUCUGUCUUUGGUGGGUCGUACAUCUCCGAGGAUGCCGCGGUGCUGGCGAAGGACGGCCGCAUCGUGGUGCUCGCCUUCAUGGGCGGUGCAACGGUGCACCUGAACUGCCUUCCUCUGCUGCGACAGCGCGCACACGUCAUGUUCUCCAAGCUUCGCUGCCAGUCAGACGACUACAAGCAGAACCUAGUAGACACCUUCGAGGAGGCGGUAAUACCCUACAUGAAUGAGCGGGUGAUUGUGCCAGUGGCGAACAAGACAUACCCGCUAGAGGAGGUUGCUCAGGCGCACGCGCGGCUCGACGACAGCAAGGCGUGGGGUAAGAUCGUGCUGACGUUCAACAGCCAUCUCUCGGCGACAUCCGCGAACCCGCUGCCCACGCCGAAAGCUUAGACCGGUUGCUGCACAAACACAGCAAAUGAAAGCGCUGCGGUGGCGGCAGGCACGAGCCGAGAGCAAAAACGGGGAUGUUAAGGGCACCCUCGAGCGAAUGAUGGGGGCGGGGGACAGGGAGUGAGAACGAUGCGCUUCGCGUUGCAAGCAAGCACCCUGGCUCAUCUUCAAGGGAUCUUCCUUUCCCUCCCUUGCGCGCCGCGGCUCCUCUGGAGCCUCUUGUCCACGUGGCAGCGCAGCUGCGCAAG